UUAUACUUUGUAUUAUUGUUUGAAUAAAUGAAAACUACUCAUUCUCAACUCUUGUGUCUCUUGUACGAUGAAGUUUUUCUUCUUUCCACCAUUAUGAAUGUUUAGCUUCCUGUUGUGUGUUUAAUUGUUCAGCUAUUUGGGAAGUGAAAGGCUGACUUAGUCUUGGAGAAAGGCUAAGUGCCACAUGGUAUAUCCCAUAGUUGACCGCAGAUAUGGUAUAUCCCACUGUAAAUGAGGUACUGCUGGAAUACUCUAUAAUCCCAUAGUUACUUCGCUUGUGAUAACGUGAGGUGCAUGUCAGCAUUAGAAGGGGUAAAAAAUAGUAUGGGAUAGAACAGCAAAAACAAUGAUUUUACAUUCUCAAAGGACCACUUCUCUAAUUUCAUUCUGGAUGAUGAUGCAGCAUGGACAAUAAUCGGAUGCAUUCAAUCAAAUUUACGAUGAUCCAAACAGCUGAAAACUCUCAUUCCAGUUCAUUCAUCCAUGCACAAUUGCAUUUGACAAAUCAUCACUCAAUUUUAUAUAGUAAAACCACAAUAUAACAAAACUGGCUAAAUGCUUGGACAAACAUCUAAGCAUUAGUGAUUCAUCCAAAUAAGAUCUCAAAUCCAAAACUUUGUUAGUACCUAUACUAUGAGGAAAGGACUUCAUCGCUUCCCUCCACCACCUCCAAGCUUGGGGCCCUUUGGUGCAGCACCUUUGGUCAAGCUACCUUUGCCCUGGGU
rnacentral:lncRNA from 1 species